rnacentral:rRNA from 1 species
GAUAAACGCUGGCGGCGUGCUUAACACAUGCAAGUCGAACGAAGUUUUUCUUUCGGGAGGAACUUAGUGGCGGACGGGUGAGUAACGCGUGGGUAACCUGCCCUGUACAGGGGGACAACAGCUGGAAACGGCUGCUAAUACCGCAUAAGCCCUUAGCACUGCAUGGUGCAUAGGGAAAAGGAGCAAUCCGGUACAGGAUGGACCCGCGUCUGAUUAGCCAGUUGGCAGGGUAACGGCCUACCAAAGCGACGAUCAGUAGCCGAUCUGAGAGGAUGUACGGCCACAUUGGGACUGAGACACGGCCCAGACUCCUACGGGAGGCAGCAGUGGGGAAUGUUGCACAAUGGAGGAAACUCUGAUGCAGCGACGCCGCGUGAGUGAAGAAGUAUUUCGGUAUGUAAAGCUCUAUCAGCAGGAAAGAAAAUGACGGUACCUGACUAAGAAGCACCGGCUAAAUACGUG